rnacentral:rRNA from 1 species
GACAGAGGGUGCAAACGUUGUUCGGAAUUACUGGGCGUAAAGCGUGUGUAGGCGGUCCACUAAGUCGGGUGUGAAAGCCCUGGGCUCAACCCAGGAAGUGCACUCGAAACUGGCGGGCUAGAGUAUCGGAGAGGUUGGUGGAAUUCUCGGUGUAGAGGUGGAAUUCGUAGAUAUCGAGAGGAACACCGGUGGCGAAGGCGGCCAACUGGACGAAUACUGACGCUGAGACACGAAAGCGUGGGGAGCAAACAGG